UGGGGAAUAUUGCACAAUGGGCGCAAGCCUGAUGCAGCCAUGCCGCGUGUGUGAAGAAGGCCUUUGGGUUGUAAAGCACUUUCAGCGGGGAGGAAGGCGGUGAGGUUAAUAACCUCAUCGAUUGACGUUACCCGCAGAAGAAGCACCGGCUAACUCCGUGCCAGCAGCCGCGGUAAUACGGAGGGUGCAAGCGUUAAUCGGAAUUACUGGGCGUAAAGCGCACGCAGGCGGUCUGUCAAGUCGGAUGUGAAAUCCCCGGGCUCAACCUGGGAACUGCAUUCGAAACUGGCAGGCUAGAGUCUUGUAGAGGGGGGUAGAAUUCCAGGUGUAGCGGUGAAAUGCGUAGAGAUCUGGAGGAAUACCGGUGGCGAAGGCGGCCCCCUGGACAAAGACUGACGCUCAGGUGCGAAAGCGUGGGGAGCAAACAGG
rnacentral:rRNA from 1 species